UGUACCGAAAGAGAAAAGGAACGGAUUUGCUAUUUUACAGUCGAGUGUUUUUCAAUUCGUCGUCAAUCAAAUCCGUGUCCGUCCAUUCUCGCGCAGAGAUUCGUGUUGAUUUCUUUUUGGCGUUCCAUUUGUUCGGGUUGAUUCGUGUUGGUUUCUCGGGUUUGGUUUUCCUGUCUCAGCCCGUUACCGCCCCCGGCCCGGCACUGUCUCCACUUUCAUUUGGGGGGUUCUGUUUUGAUAAGGCAAGGAGAAGGGAAGGAGCUCGAGCGGCGGAGGAGAGGAAGCGAUUUCUUAUGUUCAUGGCGAUUCCGGGCUAUUCCACCGCCCGAUUUCGAUUUCUCCUCCCUUUUCUCUUCGAUCCCCGCUGCCGCGGUUGGUUGUCCAUGUCUCUCGCGUUUCCCUGUGUUGUGGCUGUGUAGUUCCGGAUCUAGGUAAGUUUUGGAUCCGUGGUUCAUCUGUUAUUGGUGUUGUCCGUGGAUCCGUGGUAGGUGCAUGUUGCUGCCGUGUUUGUUUCUAGUCCGCCAUGCCUAGCGCUCCAUUUCCCAUCCUUCUGCCCGCCUGAGUUGUGUAGGAGCUUGUUGUAUGUGGGGAGUUCUAAUCCAUCUGCUUGUUGUGGUCCUUUUCUCCCCUGCUUGUAGAUGUAGAGGUAGGCGUAGGUUGUUUAUUCUAAUGUAGAUGUAGAGGUAGGCGAAGUUAUAGUUGCAGCGGUGGAUUCGCCCUAUCAAUUUUAUUUCUGCUGGCCUGGGUGUCUGUUCCUUUGUCGUUAGAUGUAGUUGCAGAUGGUCUAGCAUGGGUUUCUGCCUGCUUCUGCAGUUUACUUGUAGUUGCUGUUAGCUGCUGAUGUUUGCUGUUGUAGUCCCUGGAAAAUUCAGUAUGAUUUUUUUUUGUUAGAUGUAGGUGUUCAUUUCACCCGGUACCUGAAUCUCUCUGAAUUUGUGUGUACUAGGCUGCAGUGUUGUUGUAGUGUUAGUCCAGGAAUCUCUCUGAAUUUCAUGCUUCUUUACGGUGUAUUUUUACUCCAGACUUGAAGUGUAACUUACCCCUAGAAUUACAGUGUAUCCCCAUCCAGAAUUACUGUGUAAUUUAAAUCAUAAUUACAGUGUAACUUGCCCCAUAAUUGCAGUGCAUUUACAGUGUAUCCUGAUGCUUCUUUAUUUGUUGUUACUCUGUAAUUUGUCCUAGUAGUACUGUGUAUUUCCCCCCUAAUUACAGUGUAAUCCUGAUGCUUCUUUCUUCAGUGUAAAUUUUGCUAUAAUUACUGUGUAACAUGUCGUAGAAUUACACUGUAGGUUACCCUGCAAUUACAGUGCAAUAUACCGUGAUUACCGUGUGUUUUUUGUGCUUCUUUAUUUGUAAUUACUGUGUAAUUUGUCCUAGAAUUACUGUGUAAUAUUUCCCCCCAUUACAGUGUAAUUCUCAUGUGUCGUAGAAUCACACUGUAGGUUAGCCUGCAAUUACAGUGUAAUAUACCGUAAUUACAUUGUUUUUUUCGUGCUUCUUUAUUUUGUAAUUACUGUGUAAUUUUCCCUAGAGUUAUUGUGUAAUAUUUCCCCCCAUUACAGUGUAAUUCUCAUGCUUCUUUCAGUGUAAAUUGCAGUGUAUAUUUUUCAGUGUAAUACUGCGCCAGUUUCUUUGUUAUUUACAUUGUAAUUUUUCUCAGAUGUUUUGCAUGCAUUCAUGUGGUGUUUUGCACUGUAAUAUCCCCCAUUCUUACUAUAUAAUUUAUCUUCAGUUUUUGGCAGUGUACUUCCUCUACCUUUUCAUUGUAAGUUGCCCUAAUUAUUGUGUAUUUUGACUCAGAGUUUCACUGUAUUUAGGUUGGUUUUUACACUGUAUUUUAAGUGAUUCUUGCACUGUAUUAAUAUGCCCCAUUAUUCUAUAGUUCCCCUGAUUGCUGCCUUUCAGUGUAUUUGUUGUGAGAUUUCCCUUGUAAUUGAGCCCCAUUACUCUAUAAUUUUCAACUUUCUUUAAUUUCUUUUUUUCGUGUGUCAUGUAUUCUGUUUUGUUAGGUUUAGGUCAAUGGGGAGACUACGGAAAGUCUCUCACAAGGAUGUUUCGGUAGUUUCUUCUAUCGUGAGUGCUGAUUCUUGGAAUGAUCCUUUUGUGCCUAAUGACUUUGCGGAAGAUGGUUCUAAUGCUAUGUCUUUGGUAGUUAUUUAUGUCUUGUUCUCUACUUUCAUUUUCGUUUUAUUCUUUCUUUCAGUUUAUUAUUAUUUUUUGUUUGUUGAUUGAAUUAUUUUUCAGGAUCUUUCUAGUGAUGAUAGAGGGUUUGAUAAAGCUAUUUUUCAAGAAUUUCAUUGCAAUCCCCAUGCUUCCUUUUUGUAAUUGCAGUGUAAUAUACCCUAGAAUUGCAGUGUAAUUUAGCCCAGAUUUUAGUGUAAUCCCAAUGCUUCAUUUUUUUAAUUACAGUGUAAUUUUCCUAGAAUUACAAUGUAAACUCCAUGCUUCAUUUAUGUAAUUACAGUGUAAUUUUCCCCAUAAUUACAGUUUAAACUUCAUGCUUUAUUUAUGUAAUUAUAGUGUAAUUAUUCCCCAAAUUGCAGUGUAAUUUUUCCUAGAACUUCAGUGUAAAUUUCAUUUUUUUUUCUAAACAAAGUAGUGUAAUUUUCCUGCUGAACCUCUAUUACUUGAUAUUUGAGCUUCAUUCUUGUUCAGCUUUGCUUGAAUUACAGUGGAUUUUAACUCUGUUUAGUGCGAUUAUCCUGUGUAGUUCCUUGGUUAUUAUCAUUGUAAUCCACUAGUGUGAUUAUUCAUUUCCUUCACUGUCCAUGUGUACGAGCACUGUAACAAGCUCUGCUUUUCAUUGUCAAUAUUAAUGCCUUCAUCUGAUAGGACUUGUGUUCUUUAUGCUGAUAGGUAUGUCUUUGUAUUCAUGACUUCGUCUGAACUUGCAUGUAUCUCUGUAAUCCACUGAGUUCAUGUUAGUUACAUUGCCCUGUAUUGCAGCAAAGAUUUUUUCAUGUGUACUACAGCAAAGUUUUUUUCAUGUAAUUUCCCCAUGGUUCAUGCUACCUACAUUGCCCUAUACUGCAGCAAAGUUUUUUUCAUGUGUACCUUACACUGGAAUUCGUGUUGGUGUAGUGUUUUGACAGUGAAAUAUUAACAGUUUUACCUUCCAACAGUUAGAAUUUUUCCCCUGAUGAUUCCAAAAUUUUCACUAGAUUGUAUGACGUUUUUUUUUCUACAGGCUAGUUCAUGUAGGAGGUGUAUGUAGAGCAGCGGGGUGAGGAAAAACAUGGAAGAGUUCAAUAGAAGUGUGGUCAAAAGGAGUAGGACAUUACGUGAGCUGUGGACCGUCUCUUGGAUGAUCUUCCUCUGUCCUCCACCAAUUAUUCGGAUCUGUUCUUCCCCCUUGCUUCUCUCCAGGUGAUUUGUUGUCCAGGAAAGGAAAAAAGAGCGUGGGUAACGGUCCAGGUGGGUUUCGUGAUAGUUGCCUUGUUUUGUUUUGGUUAUUAGUUAGAACCGGGUCAGAUUUUAGCCGCCCGACCCAUUUUUUUGGAAAUACAAGCAUACAAUUGUCCAUGGUAUUUGGACAUAGGUGUCAGCGCUUGAUUUGUCAGGAAAUUUGACUAUAAUAUAGUGCUUUUUACCUUUGUA